CAGCCGCCGCGGUAAUACGUAGGGGGCAAGCGUUAUCCGGAAUUACUGGGUGUAAAGGGAGCGUAGACGGUUAAACAAGUCUGAAGUGAAAUGCCGGGGCUCAACCCCGGAGCUGCUUUGGGAACUGUAGAACUGGAGUGUCGGAGGGGUAAGCGGAAUUCCCAGUGUAGCGGUGAAAUGCGUAGAUAUUGGGAGGAACACCGGCGGCGAAGGCGGCUUACAGGACGACAACUGACGUUGAGGCUCGAAGGCGUGGGUAGCAAACAGGAUUAGAUACCCCCGUAGUCCCUGUCUCUUAUAC
rnacentral:rRNA from 1 species